GCCACUGCGCAGGUUCAGCUCUUCCUCCAGCCCGUGGCUCGCUGAGCGCGUGGGGACCUCGGUCCAGCCCCUGCCCGGGCAGGCCACAAGAAGCCGGGUCUCUGAAGGGAUGCCAAAGCUGCUGGAGGAGGGCACUCCAAAGCUGAAACGGAACAUGGCUGCUGAUGAGCAUUCUUGGCAGACAGUGCAAAGGCACACUAGAACCUACAGACAGACCCCACCAUGUCGACAUUUCUGUUUCAACUGGACAACCUUUUUUAGAUCCAGUCAAAAAAAAUUAAAGACCAUCUGUUGUUAAUAAAGAAAGUAACUUGGACAGUGAAUGGCCUGAUGUUGCCUACUGAAAGAGGAAAAACCAAGUCUCUGUUUUGUAAUAGAAUGAAG
rnacentral:lncRNA from 1 species